UAGCAACACGAAGAAAAAUGGCAAAGCGGAAACAUUCUUAUCUGUUUCCCUCUGAUAGUGGGUUGUGUUUAUCUUGAACCUCAGCAGUUCCAGAAAGCGCUCUGUAGCUGAAAGUUACAGGUGAAGAAGCUUGAAUAUAGCUACGAUCAGUGUUUAAUUCCUUUUGAUUCCUCAUGACAAAAGCUAGUAAUGAGGUCUUUGUUGCGGUCAGCAAGAGAUGACCACAGAUCACAUGCUUGCGACACCUCUUCCUGAAUCCAGAGCUCACUGCCGACUGCUUUACGACGUGGGCAGGUGAAACAGCAGAGAUGAUAUACACCAGGACAAUUCCAGAUGUGCCUGUCAAAGUUUUCACACCAUCUCUCUCACAGUAAACCACGUAAUGGCCCCUAAGAUAAGCAGACUUUGGUCGGUGAGGUACCUUUCCUACUUUGAAGAACCAUUGAAGCCUGAAGCUAAAGACUAUUACAAAUAAGCCACGAACGUGUACCUAUUGUCAACGGCUUAAUGAUUCACCUGUCGUUUUUCAGUCUGUAGACUGAGACAGAGAUUAAAUCAUCAGUCAUUAUG